UACGUAGGGACCAAGCGUUGUCCGGAAUCAUUGGGCGUAAAGCGCGCGUAGGUGGCUUCGUAAGUCCGUUGUGAAAGUCAAAGGCUCAACCUUUGAAAGCCGAUGGAUACUGCGGAGCUAGAGUACGGAAGAGGCGAGUGGAAUUCCUGGUGUAGCGGUGAAAUGCGCAGAUAUCGGGAAGAACACCCGUGGCGAAGGCGGCUCUCUGGGACGGUACUGACGCUGAGACGCGAAAGCGUGGGGAGCGAACAGG
rnacentral:rRNA from 1 species